rnacentral:tRNA from 1 species
GGGCCGUUAGCUCAACUGGCAGAGCAGGGGCCUCUUAAGCCCAAGGUUGAAGGUUCGAGUCCUUCACGGCCCACUA